rnacentral:rRNA from 1 species
AGAGUUUGAUCAUGGCUCAGAAUGAACGCUGGCGGCGUGCCUAACACAUGCAAGUCGAGCGAGAAAGUCUCUUCGGAGAUUAGUACAGCGGCGGACGGGUGAGUAAUACGCAGGAACCUGCCCUUUGGUGAGGAAUACUCUUGAGAAAUCGAGAAUAAUACCGCAUAAGUCCCUACGGGGAGAAAGGCGGCUUUAAUGCUGUCGUCAGAGGAUGGGCUUGCGUGCUAUCAGCUAGUUGGUGGGGUAAAGGCCUACCAAGGCUAUGACGGCUAACCGGCCUGAGAGGGUGUACGGUCACACUGGAACUGAGACACGGUCCAGACUCCUACGGGAGGCAGCAGUGGGGAAUAUUGCGCAAUGGGCGAAAGCCUGACGCAGCGACGCCGCGUGGAGGAUGAAGGUCUUAGGAUUGUAAACUCCUGUUAAGUGGGAAGAAAAGCUUAUCAGUAAUAUGGAUAGGUUAUGACGGUACCACUAGAGAAAGCACCGGCUAACUUCGUGCCAGCAGCCGCGGUAAUACGAGGGGUGCAAGCGUUAUUCGGAUUUACUGGGCGUAAAGGGUGUGUAGACGGUUUACUAAGUCUGUUGUUAAAUACUCUGGCUUAACUGGAGAUCAGCGGUGGAAACUAGUAAACUAGAGGUUGGAAGAGAGAAGUGGAAUUCCCGGAGUAGCGGUAAAAUGCGUAGAUCUCGGGAGGAACACCGAUGGCGAAGGCAGCUUCUUGGUCCAUACCUGACGUUGAAACACGAAAGCGUGGGGAGCAAACAGGAUUAGAUACCCCCGUAGUCC